GGAUUCUCUCAACAGGUAAACCUACAACCACAGCCCCGCCCACCUCUGCAACUCUGCCCGCUGCCUCAGCCUCCCUCCAGCUUGAAUUCAGACUGAUCUUACACCUGGUGGUGUUCUGUCCGUACUGCAUCUCCACUGUCCUCAUGUUGUCUUUAUAUCGACGCAGGGCCACAGCAAGUGACCUGCCCAUUUCCACGGUGAUGACCCCUCUAAACCACACUGAAAAGGGAUUGGAUGAAGACUAUGAUGACAUCAUCACUGCUGUCAUCACUGAGCAUCCCUUCUGAGCUACGCCAAUGAUUACAUCCUUGAUUUCUGCGGUCGGCUAUCUCAACUUCGUCUGGCUUCAUAAUGUUGUCACUUUUUUGAUGAAAAAGAUUCACACUCUGUGGGCUCAUGUUAAAUAGUAUGUGUUUAAUUUAACUUCUGUAUAAAUAAUGCGAUCGAAAUUCAUAUUAUAAUGUAUUUUCCUGUUUACCUUUGUAUGCUGUACCCUUAUGGCCCAUGUGUCACUGUUUGGUGUUGAUGCUUGUAUUAUGUUGUAGUCAGGUUUCAGCCGUUCCCAGGGGAAUGUAGCUCGUUAGGAGUUUUUUAUCUGACUGUUGAAAGGCCUUCAUCUCAGGACAGUUGGUUUUGACUCCCUCCCUCCCUGAGACAGCUGCGUAAUAACAUAGUAUAAAGUGCCCUGUUUCUUCACUGGCUCUUUGUCUUACACUCUGCAGACUGAAUGCACUCUGUAUGUUUGUCUAUUUAAGAAUAAAGCCUUUGUUUCAUAAACCA